CCUACGGGUGGCAGCAGUGGGGAAUAUUGGUCAAUGGAGGAAACUCUGAACCAGCAACGCCGCGUGAAUGAUGAAGGUCUUCGGAUUGUAAAGUUCUUUUCUAAGGGACGAAGAAAGUGACGGUACCUUAGGAAUAAGCCUCGGCUAACUACGUGCCAGCAGCCGCGGUAAUACGUAGGAGGCGAGCGUUAUCCGGAAUGACUGGGCGUAAAGGGCGCGUAGGUGGUUUGACAAGUUGGUAGCGUAACUCCGAGGCUCAACCUCGGCACUACUACCAAAACUGUCGGACUUGAGUGCAGGAGAGGCAGUUGGAAUUCCGGGUGUAGCGGUGGAAUGCGCAGAUAUUAGUAGGAACACCGGUGGCGAAGGCGGAUUGCUGGACAGUAACUGACACUGAGGCGCGAAAGCGUGGGGAGCAAACAGGAUUAGAUACCCGAAUAGUC
rnacentral:rRNA from 1 species